rnacentral:rRNA from 1 species
AUUGAACGCUGGCGGCAUGCCUUACACAUGCAAGUCGAACGGUAACAGGUCUUCGGAUGCUGACGAGUGGCGAACGGGUGAGUAAUACAUCGGAACGUGCCUAGUAGUGGGGGAUAACUACUCGAAAGAGUGGCUAAUACCGCAUGAGAUCUACGGAUGAAAGCAGGGGAUCGCAAGACCUUGUGCUACUAGAGCGGGCGAUGGCAGAUUAGGUAGUUGGUGGGAUAAAAGCUUACCAAGCCGACGAUCUGUAGCUGGUCUGAGAGGACGAUCAGCGACACUGGGACUGAGACACGGCCCAGACUCCUACGGGAGGCAGCAGUGGGGAAUUUUGGACAAUGGGCGAAAGCCUGAUCCAGCAAUGCCGCGUGCAGGAUGAAGGCCUUCGGGUUGUAAACUGCUUUUGUACGGAACGAAAAGCCCCGGGUUAAUACCCUGGGGUCAUGACGGUACCGUAAGAAUAAGCACCGGCUAACUACGUGCCAGCCGCCGCGGUAA